CUUCGAUGGAUAGGGGUUCUGAGAGGAAGGUCCCCCACAUUGGAACUGAGACACGGUCCAAACUCCUACGGGAGGCAGCAGUGAGGAAUAUUGGUCAAUGGGCGCUAGCCUGAACCAGCCAAGUAGCGUGAAGGAUGACUGCCCUAUGGGUUGUAAACUUCUUUUAUAAAGGAAUAAAGUCGGGUAUGCAUACCCGUUUGCAUGUACUUUAUGAAUAAGGAUCGGCUAACUCCGUGCCAGCAGCCGCGGUAAUACGGAGGAUCCGAGCGUUAUCCGGAUUUAUUGGGUUUAAAGGGAGCGUAGGUGGACUGGUAAGUCAGUUGUGAAAGUUUGCGGCUCAACCGUAAAAUUGCAGUUGAUACUGUCAGUCUUGAGUACAGUAGAGGUGGGCGGAAUUCGUGGUGUAGCGGUGAAAUGCUUAGAUAUCACGAAGAACUCCGAUUGCGAAGGCAGCUCACUGGACUGCAACUGACACUGAUGCUCGAAAGUGUGGGUAUCAAACAGGAUUAGAUACCCUGGUAGUCCACACAGUAAACGAUGAAUACUCGCUGUUUGCGAUAUACAGUAAGCGGCCAAGCGAAAGCAUUAAGUAUUCCACCUGGGGAGUACGCCGGCAACGGUGAAACUCAAAGGAAUUGACGGGGGCCCGCACAAGCGGAGGAACAUGUGGUUUAAUUCGAUGAUACGCGAGGAACCUUACCCGGGCUUAAAUUGCAGUGGAAUGAUGUGGAAACAUGUCAGUGAGCAAUCACCGCUGUGAAGGUGCUGCAUGGUUGUCGUCAGCUCGUGCCGUGAGGUGUCGGCUUAAGUGCCAUAACGAGCGCAACCCUUAUCUUCAGUUACUAACAGGUCAUGCUGAGGACUCUGGAGAGACUGCCGUCGUAAGAUGUGAGGAAGGUGGGGAUGACGUCAAAUCAGCACGGCCCUUACGUCCGGGGCUACACACGUGUUACAAUGGGGGGUACAGAAGGCAGCUAGCGGGUGACCGUAUGCUAAUCCCAAAAUCCUCUCUCAGUUCGGAUCGAAGUCUGCAACCCGACUUCGUGAAGCUGGAUUCGCUAGUAAUCGCGCAUCAGCCACGGCGCGGUGAAUACGUUCCCGGGCCUUGUACACACCGCCCGUCAAGCCAUGGGAGCCGGGGGUACCUGAAGUACGUAACCGCAAGGAUCGUCCUAGGGUAAAACUGGUGACUGGGGCUAAGUCGUAACAAGGUAGCCGUACCGGAAGGUGCGGCUG
rnacentral:rRNA from 1 species